rnacentral:rRNA from 1 species
UGUGUAGGUGGUUGAAUCAGUUCACUGUGAAAGUUCCGGGCUUAACCUGGAAAGGCCGGUGGAUACUGUUUAACUAGAGGACAGGAGAGGGCAGAGGAAUUUCCGGUGUAGCGGUGAAAUGCGUAGAUAUCGGAAGGAACACCAGUCGCGAAGGCGUCUGUCUGGCCUGGCCCUGACACUGAGACACGAAGGCGUGGGUAGCGAACA